UCUUAAGCAGUAUAGUGGUUAGUAUUCAUGCCUGUCAAUCAUGCUAGACCGGAGUUCAAUUCCCCGCUUGAGGA
rnacentral:tRNA from 1 species